GAUGAAGAACGCAGUGAAAUGCGAUAAGUAAUGCGAAUUGCAGAAUUUCCGUGAGUCAUCGAAUCUUUGAACGCACAUUGCGCCCAUUGGUAUUCCGAUGGGCAUGCCUGUUCGAGCGUCAUUAUCCUCCCUCAAACCUCGGGUUUGGUGUUGGGGAUCGGCUCUGCCCUUCUGGGCGGUGCCGCCCCCGAAAUACAUUGGCGGUCUCGCUGCAGCCUCCAUUGCGUAGUAGCUAACACCUCGCAACUGGAACGCGGCGCGGCCAUGCCGUAAAACCCCAACUUCUGAAUGUUGACCUCGGAUCAGGUAGGAAUACCCGCUGAACUUAAGCAUAUCAAUAAGCGGAGGA
rnacentral:misc_RNA from 1 species